ACCAAAAAAAAAAAAAAGUUAUUUCUUGGGUCUAGAGCAAUGGUUUAGAUAUUAAGAGCUGCUGCUACUGCUGCUACGCUUCAACAGGAUCCAAGUUCAGUUCCUAGCACCCACCCAGCGGCUCCCAACCAUCUGUAACUCCAGUUCCAGGAAUCUGAUGGCUUCUUCUGGCCACUUCAGGCACCAGCAUGCAUGCGGUACACAAACAUAUUUGCAAGUAAAACAACCAUAGACAAAAAUAAAAUAAAAUAUUUGAAGAAAAUAAGGUGGGAAGUGGCUGAGAAAGAGAAAGUUGUCAAAUCCAACUCCUCUAUACACACACACACAGUCACAAUGUACUAAUUUUUUUCUAAUAAAACAUCAAUUUUUUUUCUUUCGUCCCCCCACCCCUUUUCUCAGAUAGCUAAGCAGUUAGCAAACCCAGAACAGGACCGUGAGGAACUGACAGCGAUGUUAGGGUUCAGCAGGAUGCUGUUAGAGAGAUGCAUGCUAGUGUGUCUGCUGGGAGACAGGAGGAGGGGCUUCUGAAGUCUGACAGCCAGAGGUUUUUUUUAGCCAUUAUAGGGAAUCACAGAAUGUUUUUCUUUGCUUCUUUCAUUCCCUUCAGAUCAGAGUAAAACCUCGAUUUGUCUAAGGCAGAAUAUUUGGGGGUAGGACAUUUUUCUUUGUAUGGCUUCUAGUUUUAAAGUUUUUCAUGAUCUUGUUGCAAUGGCUGUGGCAGAAAGGCCUGGACAUUAGCGGGAGGAGGAGAUCAAUCCAUACUGACCGGGCAGCUCGAAUGGCAAUCCUUGUCCAGGCUGCAAAUGUGGACCCCUUAUGUGAAGUUAGAAUUUCCAGGAUACCACUCUCCUGCUUCCUAUUUUGGCAACUGCUUGGAGGCCCAAUUCCCCUGAAGACUAUCUUGUGUUUCUUUGGGACCCUGCUUCAUUCUGGCCUCAUGAGAUGUGUUGGGAAUAUAGCAUUCUUGUUUAGAAUAUGAAUGUCUCCAAAGUCUCAAAUAAACUUCAACUUUCUUGAGUACGAAUGGCAGUUAUGAUAACAACAUCACUUCUGAAGAGUGUUUGGGGACACAUCAUUAAAGAAGGCAGGUUGGGUGGAGGACAGGUGCUGGUUCUUGUUGGGUGUUUGAUUUCCCUCAUGCCUCACCAGAGAUGGGCUGGUGGUUUGUGGUCUAUGGUUGAAGAAACAUUUGUAGGCUAUUCUGUGGUUGGCACCUCAGUACGUGGGACCAGCAUUAAAACCGCAUUUUCUUCAUCCAAGUCUUCCUCAGAUUAGUUCUUGUUGAAAGUCUCCAGGCUGAAGUAUGACAUUAUUCAGGCAGGCUUGAAAGAAGACAAAGGUCCUAUUUGUGUGUGUGUGUGUGUGUCUGGAUCUUAUUAUGUAUCCCUGGCUAUCAUGGAACUGGCUCGGUAGACCAGGUUGGCCUUGAAUUUGCAGAGAUCUGCCUACCUCUGCCUUCCAAGUGUUGGGAUUAAAGUUGUACACCACCAUGCCUGGCAAAAUGUUAUUUCUUAGUAUUGUGCUGUAUGAUUGGUGUGUGUAUUGGUGGUGUGUGUAUAUAUGUGUCAGUGGUAUGUGUGUGUGUGUUGUGUGUGCAUGUGCAAAGGCCACAUCCUGACCAAAAGACCAUGUUCCAUAGUUGUGAUGGAUGGUGCACAGCUGUAAUCCACUUGGGAGACAGAGGCAGGUGGCUCUUUUCCAGGUCCUGGACAGCCAUGCCUCCAAUGUUCCGCUCCUUCUACUGACUCUUACACUCUUUCUACCCCAACAUUCCUUGAGCCUUGUCCCAUUUAUGGCUGAACAUUCCAUAGCCAUUUAUUUUCCCUCCUUUAACCAGAAGUCUGUAGUUAACAUUGCCCACUGUCCACUGCUGACCACAGCAGUAAUUUAUAAGCAUGAACGUACAUAGGCUUAGGUUUUUCAAAACCUACUUUAAUAGGGGUUCUCAAACACUUCGACCCACCUCCUAGCCCACUGUCCAAAGGUAGGGGAGAAAAAUUGGUAAAUAGGAUGUGGACCUGCUUAGUGGUUCUUUAGCCUGGUUCCAACCUCCAGUUGUCAGGAUACUGGCAAUCCAAUAGAGUAGUGUCAGGAUAGGAAGCACAAAUGAGCUGCAUGAACCAGAACCGACAGUCCUGUGCCUGAUCCAGCAUGAGUCAGCAGGAGAGACCAGGACCAGCUGGAGAGCCUUGCGAAGCUGUGCUCUGUGGUGCCGUCUUCCGGAAAGAGAGGUGGCAACCUCCGGCAGCCCAUUCGGCCAGUUUUUUGUUUGUUUGUUUUGUUUGUUUUGUUUUUUGAGACAGGGUUUCUCUGUGUAGCCCUGGCUGUCCUAGAACUCACUCUGUAGACCAGGCUGGCCUUGAACUCAGAAAUCUGCCUGCCUCUGCCUCCCGAGUGCUGGGAUUAAAGGCGUGCGCCACCACUGCCUGGCUCUGCCUGGGAUUUUAACACUGCUGUUGAAGGUAGGAGAAGCUCCAGACUUACCACCAGACCCUGAUGGGGGCCUCCGACAGGCCGACAGGCAGCCCACAAAUUUGCCCAAGGUGAGGCACGUGAUGCAGGGAAAGAGUAAGAGCCCCAGGAGCAUCUAGACUUUUUGAAGCCUAUAGGACCUACACUGCUUUUGACCCAGAAGCCAGAGUCAGCUGUGAACAUGGCUUCUGUUAACCAAGCUGCCCUUGACAUUGGUUAGGAACUUCAGCCACUGAAAAACUUUGAGGUGUGCCUCUGGCAUCCAAAAGCCAGCCUCUAUUUGCCUUUGAAUGGCAAGAUUUGGAGAGAGACUUCUUGGACACGCCUUCCUCAAAGAUUCAAAAACUCACCCAUCAUCUUUGACAAGCCACUGCGUGAGGACUUGGGUGAGGACCAGCUGGCCCACCCCCAAAUAACUGUGCUCCAGUAUGUAUUGCGGGGCCCCUGACUUGGAGACAUGCCAGGAGGCCACAUGAGACCUGCGACAAGAGCUGAGUCGACUUGGCUACCUAGUGUCUGCUAAGAAGGUCCAGCUCUGUCAACUUGAGGUCACCUAUCUGGGGCACAUAUUCAAGGGGAGGCGGCCAACUCAUGCUGUCAGACUCUCACUCUGCCCUGUGUUCCCAGCCAUACCUGAAUAUACCAGUGAAGACAAAUGACAUCAGGCAAAAUUCUAAGGAGUUUACAGAAGAAACAGAAGGCUGCCGACCUCUGAAGGAGGUUGCUAAGGAACUCAUCCGUCAGAUUCGUCAAGCUUCACACCUGGCCACUGAAAAGUGAAGGAAAUGCUGUGAGGGGCAAGGCACAAAGUAUUUUUAGGACACUUGGUUGACCAGGUAAUCUUGGACUGCCACCUGCCAGGCUGGGAACUCUUCACACCCCAAUCAAGGAGCCACUCCAGAAACCAAAAUCAGGGCUCAAUGGCCAGGGGCUAGUUGGGAAAUAGCUUAUACAGAAAUAAAACCAGGACCAUAUGGAUAUCAGUCUGUGCAAGUUUUUAUAGAUAUCUUUUCAGGAUGGGUAGAUGACUACCCUACAAAGUAGGAGACUGCUAAUGUAGUGGCAAAGAAGCUCCUGGGAGACAUCAUACUCAGGUGUGGUUUGCCUGCCCUGCCUGGGUCUGAUAAUGGACCAGCAUUGACCAAAAUUAACCCUUGAGACUGGCAGUGACUGGGUGUCCCUCCUACCUUAUACCUUAUAUAGGGCUAGGAACACCCCCUAUACUUUAGGUCGCCCCACCUUUGAGAUCCUAUAUGGGAGGCCCCCUCCCAUGCUGCCUAACCUUCAUUCUGAUAUCGUAGCUGAAUAUGACCAAAAUCAUAUAUAAAAUCGUUAGAAGCCCUCCACAGGGUUCAGAAGUAACUCUGACCUGCCAUCUGCCAGAUUUGUGAGUCUGCUCAUCCCCCUACCCCCCAUUGCUUUGAACCAGGUGACAAAGUCUGGAUUAAGAGAGAAAGCCACGCUGGGCAUAGUAGCAACACUUGGGAGGCAGAGGUAGGCUGAUCUCUGAGUUCCAGGCCAGCCUGGUCUACAAAGUGAGUUCCAGGACAGCCAAGGCUACACAGAGAAAACCUGUCUCAAAAAAAAAAAAAAAAAAAAAAAAAAAAAAGAAAAGAAAAAGAAAAAGAAAGAAAAAGAAAAAGAAAAAGAAAAAGAAAGAAAAAGAAAAAGAAAAAGAAAAAGAAAGAAAGAAAGACAUAGCCACAAGAGUCUGGAGCCUUUCUGGAAUGGACCUCACACCAUGAUCCUGACCAUGCCUAUGGCUGUUAAGGUGUGCGGGAUCAGGAUGUGGGUAUACCACUCUCAUGUUAGUCCUGCCAGGAGAGAGAAGAUCCAGCCGUUGAGGUCCCAGUAAAGGGGACUUUCAGGUGAACUGCCGCAAGAGUGAUGGAAGGCCCCCCACACCCUGUCGAUCCACAGCAGCUGGGACUCAGCGUUCCUGGACCUGCUUGCUUGUUCCUUGUGCUCUGCUUCACCAGCCACUGCCCCCUUUCUAUCUGGGUAACCCCAGGGGACGGUGCAACAACCUUGUCAAGUUCACAGUGGCUGGCAAGAAGGCCAAUUGCACAGAUGGUUCUUAACUCCUGUCUCCCUGGACUUAACACAGAACUGUUGGCUACCAGACAGGGGCUCUGUAUUGGAAAGAAGGUAGCCCCAGCCUAUCCCCACCUCUGCAUCUCUGCAACCGCACUGUAACCCCUACUGUUGUAGGAUACCUGCUGUCCCCAGAGAAUGCUUGGUAGGCUUGUACCUCAGGGCUUACUCUAUGCAUUUAUGGCCUGGUUGUAAAUACAACUGAGGAUUUUUAUGUUCUCGUACAGCUUGCACCCUGAGUGACUUAUUACUCUAGGAAGGAUGUCUUCAACCAGGUAGCACUUCCAAACAGUCGGGUUAAAAGGGUGGCCAUUACCACUUUGUUACUAGGUUCUCUCCUUGACAUAGGGCUGGCUGGCGAUGCUGGUGUAGGGGCCUCAGAAACAACUCCAAGGAUUCAAGAUGGCCCAUUACUGAAAGGGAGGAAUGAGAAGGCUGGGCUGAUUCCAGUUGAGGAGACUAGCCGAAAUCUCUGUUCCCAAGAACUGAGCAAUUCCAAGCAAGUCCAGCCCUUAGAAGCUGCCCUGCCAUCUGGUCUGAGGCAAGGACAGUGCUUCAGCAACAGUUUCCAGACCUCCCCAGCAAGUUUCCAGCUCCCACACCCAGGUAAUGGAGUGUUCGUAGAGUUGGACCCAACAGAAUAACAUAGAAGUCAUCUACCUCGAAAUUCCCUAGUGUUUUAAAUCAGGCCUGCAAGUUCACUUGGUUGUCUCUCUAUCUUGAUAAUGGAAGACCCAAGGAUGCAGGACUUUUGCAGAAUAAAACACUCUUUGCGUUUACAUACUAUUUGAGUCUGGGGUGUCAUUCUUCAGUGAAUCAUGGAUCCUUACAAGCUGUCUCAACAAUUAAGAGCACUUGGUGUUAAAGUUAUUCCUCCCAGCCCCAUGCUCCCA
rnacentral:lncRNA from 1 species